GACGAACGCUGGCGGCGUGCUUAACACAUGCAAGUCGAGCGGUAAGGCCCUUUCGGGGGUACACGAGCGGCGAACGGGUGAGUAACACGUGGGUGACCUGCCCUUAGCUCUGGGAUAAGCCUGGGAAACUGGGUCUAAUACCGGAUAUGACUCCAUGACGCAUGUUGUGGGGUGGAAAGCCUUGUGCGGCUAGGGAUGGGCCCGCGGCCUAUCAGCUUGUUGGUGGGGUGAUGGCCUACCAAGGCGACGACGGGUAGCCGGCCUGAGAGGGCGACCGGCCACACUGGGACUGAGACACGGCCCAGACUCCUACGGGAGGCAGCAGUGGGGAAUCUUGCGCAAUGGGCGAAAGCCUGACGCAGCGAUGCCGCGUGGGGAUGACGGCCUGGU
rnacentral:rRNA from 1 species